CCUACGGGAGGCAGCAGUGAGGAAUAUUGGUCAAUGGGCGCGAGCCUGAACCAGCCAAGUAGCGUGAAGGAUGACUGCCCUACGGGUUGUAAACUUCUUUUAUAAAGGAAUAAAGUGAGGCACGUGUACCUUUUUGAAUGUACUUUAUGAAUAAGGAUCGGCUAACUCCGUGCCAGCAGCCGCGGUAAUACGGAGGAUCCGAGCGUUAUCCGGAUUUAUUGGGUUUAAAGGGAGCGUAGAUGGGUUGUUAAGUCAGUUGUGAAAGUUUGCGGCUCAACCGUGAAAUUGCAAUUGAUACUGGCAGUCUUGAGUACAGUUGAGGUAGGCGGAAUGCGUGGUGUAGCGGUGAAAUGCUUAGAUAGCACGAAGAACUCCGAUUGCGAAGGCAGCUUACUAAACUGCCACUGACAUUGAGGCUCGAAAGUGUGGGUAUCAAACAGGAUUAGAUACCCGGGUAGUC
rnacentral:rRNA from 1 species